UCCAGUAGUUUGGGAAUGUGAUCUGGCUGCGGUGGUGGUGGUGGCAAUGAAUGAAUGAAUGGCAAGUGCGAGUCGUGCACAGGAGCGCACACAGACACGCACAGGGGUGGGGGGGAACGUCCUAAAGCUUCACAGAGACGAUGAGGAUCGCCGAGCGGGGAGGAGGGGAGCAGUCGGAGGCACCGUCACAGAGGGACAGGCAGCACCGUCCUGAUCAGAUAGGUCGGUCCCGGCCGCGAUCUCGCUGCGAGGCGACACAGACACAGACCGGUCCAGAAAUGACGCCGACAUCAACAAACACGAGCCGGGGCCCUAAUCUACGUGUUUCCAAACAUCCGAGAUUUCCA